UACGUAGGGGGCGAGCGUUGUCCGGAGUUACUGGGCGUAAAGCGCACGCAGGCGGUCUGUUAAGUUUGGAGUGACAGUUGGUGGCUCAACCACCAAAGUGCUUUGAAAACUGAUAGACUUGAGGGCUUCAGAGGGACACGGAAUUCCGGGUGGAGUGGUGAAAUGCGUAGAGAUCCGGAGGAACACCAAAGGCGAAGGCAGUGUCCUGGGGAGUACCUGACGCUCAGGUGCGAAAGCCAGGGGAGCGAACAGG
rnacentral:rRNA from 1 species